AACGAACGCUGGCGGCAUGCCUAACACAUGCAAGUCGAACGAGACCUUCGGGUCUAGUGGCGCACGGGUGCGUAACGCGUGGGAACCUGCCCUUAGGUUCGGAAUAACUCCCCGAAAGGGGUGCUAAUACCGGAUAAUUUCUUCGGACCAAAGAUUUAUCGCCUUUGGAUGGGCCCGCGUUGGAUUAGCUAGUUGGUAGGGUAAAAGCCUACCAAGGCGACGAUCCAUAGCUGGUCUGAGAGGAUGAUCAGCCACACUGGGACUGAGACACGGCCCAGACUCCUACGGGAGGCAGCAGUGGGGAAUAUUGGACAAUGGGCGAAAGCCUGAUCCAGCAAUGCCACGUGAGUGAUGAAGGCCUUAGGGUUGUAAAGCUCUUUUAACCGGGAUGAUAAUGACAGUACCGGGAGAAUAAGCGCCGGCUAACUCCGUG
rnacentral:rRNA from 1 species